UACGAAGGGGGCUAGCGUUGUUCGGAUUUACUGGGCGUAAAGCGCGCGCAGGCGGUUCUACAAGUCAGUGGUGAAAGCCCGGAGCUCAACUCCGGAACUGCCAUUGAAACUGCAGAACUUGAGGAUGAGAGAGGUGAGUGGAAUUCCCAGUGUAGAGGUGAAAUUCGUAGAUAUUGGGAAGAACACCGGUGGCGAAGGCGGCUCACUGGCUCAUUUCUGACGCUCAGGCGCGACAGCGUGGGGAUCAAACAGG
rnacentral:rRNA from 1 species